GACGAACGCUGGCGGCGUGCUUAACACAUGCAAGUCGAACGAUGAAACCCGCUUCGGUGGGUGGAAGAGUGGCGGACGGGUGAGUAACGCGUGAGCGACCUGCCCUAAAGAGGGGGACAACACCGGGAAACUGGUGCUAAUACCGCAUAAGCCCACGGUAUCGCAUGGUACAGGGGGAAAAGGAGAAAUCCGCUUUAGGAGGGGCUCGCGUCCCAUUAGGUAGAUGGUGAGGUAACGGCUCACCAUGCCAACGAUGGGUAGCCGGACUGAGAGGUUGAACGGCCACACUGGAACUGAGACACGGUCCAGACUCCUACGGGAGGCAGCAGUGGGGAAUAUUGGGCAAUGGGCGAAAGCCUGACCCAGCAACGCCGCGUGAAGGAAGAAGGUUUUCGGAUUGUAAACUUCUGUCCCAGGGGAAGAAGGAAGUGACGGUACCCUGGGAGGAAGCCCCGGCUAACUACGUGCCAGCAGCCGCGGUAAUACGUAGGGGGCGAGCGUUGUCCGGAAUUACUGGGCGUAAAGGGUGCGUAGGCGGUCCUUUAAGUCAGAUGUGAAAAGCCCGUGCUUAACAUGGGAGGUGCAUUUGAAACUGGAGGACUUGAGUGUGGGAGAGGCAAGCGGAAUUCCCGGUGUAGCGGUGAAAUGCGUAGAGAUCGGGAGGAACACCAGUGGCGAAGGCGGCUUGCUGGACCAAGACUGACGCUGAGGCACGAAAGCGUGGGGAGCAAACAGGAUUAGAUACCCUGGUAGUCCACGCCGUAAACGAUGGAUACUAGGUGUAGGGGGUAACAACCUUCUGUGCCGGAGCAAACGCAAUAAGUAUCCCGCCUGGGGAGUACGAUCGCAAGAUUGAAACUCAAAGGAAUUGACGGGGGCCCGCACAAGCAGCGGAGCAUGUGGUUUAAUUCGAAGCAACGCGAAGAACCUUACCAAGGCUUGACAUCCCUUGACAACUCUGGAAACAGAGCAUCCCUUCGGGGCAAGGAGACAGGUGGUGCAUGGUUGUCGUCAGCUCGUGUCGUGAGAUGUUGGGUUAAGUCCCGCAACGAGCGCAACCCUUACAUUUAGUUACCAGCGGGUAAAGCCGGGGACUCUGGAUGGACUGCCGGGGACAACUCGGAGGAAGGUGGGGACGACGUCAAAUCAUCAUGCCCCUUACGUCUUGGGCUACACACGUGCUACAAUGGCCGUAACAAAGGGAAGCGAAACCGUAAGGUGGAGCGAAACCCAGAAAAGCGGUCCCAGUUCGGAUUGUGGGCUGCAACCCGCCCACAUGAAGUCGGAGUUGCUAGUAAUCGCGAAUCAGCAUGUCGCGGUGAAUGCGUUCCCGGGCCUUGUACACACCGCCCGUCACACCAUGGGAGUUGGGAGCGCCCGAAGUCGGUGAGCUAACCGUAAGGAGGCAGCCGCCGAAGGUGAGAUCAAUGACUGGGGUG
rnacentral:rRNA from 1 species